AAAAAAAUUAAUUUCGCAUUGCGUUAACCGGUUAACCAUAUGCGUUAACCGGUUAACACUGUUCCAAAAAGUGUUUAGAAAGCACAACUCUUGUGCAGUCAAACCCCAAUCUCAUAACUCUCUGACAACACAACCCUUGUGCUGUCACUAACCCUGAUGCACCAAUUUCAGACCGUCAAACACAUCUCGAUUGUUAAUUCAGU
rnacentral:lncRNA from 1 species